rnacentral:rRNA from 1 species
AAAUUGAAGAGUUUGAUCAUGGCUCAGAUUGAACGCUGGCGGCAGGCCUAACACAUGCAAGUCGAACGGUAACAGGAAGCGCUUGCUGCUUCGCUGACGA